UACGGCGGGUGCAAGCGUUAUCCGGAUUCACUGGGUUUAAAGGGUGCGUAGGCGGGCAGGUAAGUCCGUGGUGAAAUCUCUGAGCUUAACUCAGAAACUGCCAUGGAUACUAUUUGUCUUGAAUAUUGUGGAGGUAAGCGGAAUAUGUCAUGUAGCGGUGAAAUGCUUAGAUAUGACAUAGAACACCAAUUGCGAAGGCAGCUCACUACACAAUCAUUGACGCUGAGGCACGAAAGCGUGGGGAUCAAACAGG
rnacentral:rRNA from 1 species